UCCGCAGUGCAGUGUAGCAUGGUUGUCUUUCGGUUGGGUUUUUGGUGAUCUUCAGGAUGGUUUCUCAGAGAGUCGUUGUGGGUUUUCUUCUGAUUGUGCUGGUCUAUAAUGUGUUGGGGUUUCUGGCUGAGCAUGAGCAGGCACGUGCAGAAGGGUUCACCCUAUCACGGCUGAUCAGAGACUACAGAGACACUGACAGUGGAACACUGCAGGGGGAUGGAGAUGGAGCUUCUGGCUCUGGAGAUUCAGGCUCUGGAGAUCCUGCAGCUGUAGUGUUGAAAUGAGGAGAAAACGUGAAGGGAACCUGGCUGACCCAAGUGCGUGUCAAUAUUGCAUAAUUCUGCAGCGUCUGACCAUGAGCUCACAGACCCUACCAGUUCAAUGCCUCCUGGAUUCUUCAUCCCUGAAUAAAAUUGGGUUGUCUUGAA